GUCGAGCGGUAAGGCCCUUCGGGGUACACGAGCGGCGAACGGGUGAGUAACACGUGAGCAACCUGCCCCUGACUCUGGGAUAAGCGGUGGAAACGCCGUCUAAUACCGGAUACGACCUUCCACCUCAUGGUGGAGGGUGGAAAGUUUUUUCGGUCAGGGAUGGGCUCGCGGCCUAUCAGCUUGUUGGUGGGGUAACGGCCUACCAAGGCGAUUACGGGUAGCCGGCCUGAGAGGGCGACCGGCCACACUGGGACUGAGACACGGCCCAGACUCCUGCGGGAGGCAGCAGUGGGGAAUAUUGCGCAAUGGGCGAAAGCCUGACGCAGCGACGCCGCGUGGGGGAUGACGGCCUUCGGGUUGUAAACCUCUUUUACCACCAACGCAGGCUCCGGGUUCUCUCGGGGUUGACGGUAGGUGGGGAAUAAGGACCGGCUAACUACGUGCCAGCAGCCGCGGUAAUACGUAGGGUCCGAGCGUUGUCCGGAAUUAUUGGGCGUAAAGAGCUCGUAGGCGGCGUGUCGCGUCUGCUGUGAAAGACCGGGGCUUAACUCCGGUUCUGCAGUGGAUACGGGCAUGCUAGAGGUAGGUAGGGGAGACUGGAAUUCCUGGUGUAGCGGUGAAAUGCGCAGAUAUCAGGAGGAACACCGGUGGCGAAGGCGGGUCUCUGGGCCUUACCUGACGCUGAGGAGCGAAAGCAUGGGGAGCGAACAGGAUUAGAUACCCUGGUAGUCCAUGCCGUAAACGUUGGGCGCUAGGUGUGGGGACUUUCCACGGUUUCCGCGCCGUA
rnacentral:rRNA from 1 species